GCAGGCUUAACACAUGCAAGUCGAGGGGCAGCAUGGUCUUAGCUUGCUAAGGCCGAUGGCGACCGGCGCACGGGUGAGUAACACGUAUCCAACCUGCCGUCUACUCUUGGACAGCCUUCUGAAAGGAAGAUUAAUACAAGAUGGCAUCAUGAGUCCGCAUGUUCACAUGAUUAAAGGUAUUCCGGUAGACGAUGGGGAUGCGUUCCAUUAGAUAGUAGGCGGGGUAACGGCCCACCUAGUCUUCGAUGGAUAGGGGUUCUGAGAGGAAGGUCCCCCACAUUGGAACUGAGACACGGUCCAAACUCCUACGGGAGGCAGCAGUGAGGAAUAUUGGUCAAUGGGCGAGAGCCUGAACCAGCCAAGUAGCGUGAAGGAUGACUGCCCUAUGGGUUGUAAACUUCUUUUAUAAAGGAAUAAAGUCGGGUAUGCAUACCCGUUUGCAUGUACUUUAUGAAUAAGGAUCGGCUAACUCCGUGCCAGCAGCCGCGGUAAUACGGAGGAUCCGAGCGUUAUCCGGAUUUAUUGGGUUUAAAGGGAGCGUAGAUGGAUGUUUAAGUCAGUUGUGAAAGUUUGCGGCUCAACCGUAAAAUUGCAGUUGAUACUGGAUAUCUUGAGUGCAGUUGAGGCAGGCGGAAUUCGUGGUGUAGCGGUGAAAUGCUUAGAUAUCACGAAGAACUCCGAUUGCGAAGGCAGCCUGCUAAGCUGCAACUGACAUUGAGGCUCGAAAGUGUGGGUAUCAAACAGGAUUAGAUACCCUGGUAGUCCACACGGUAAACGAUGAAUACUCGCUGUUUGCGAUAUACAGCAAGCGGCCAAGCGAAAGCGUUAAGUAUUCCACCUGGGGAGUACGCCGGCAACGGUGAAACUCAAAGGAAUUGACGGGGGCCCGCACAAGCGGAGGAACAUGUGGUUUAAUUCGAUGAUACGCGAGGAACCUUACCCGGGCUUAAAUUGCAGAUGAAUUACGGUGAAAGCCGUAAGCCGCAAGGCAUCUGUGAAGGUGUUGCAUGGUUGUCGUCAGCUCGUGCCGUGAGGUGUCGGCUUAAGUGCCAUAACGAGCGCAACCCUUGUUGUCAGUUACUAACAGGUUCCGCUGAGGACUCUGACAAGACUGCCAUCGUAAGAUGUGAGGAAGGUGGGGAUGACGUCAAAUCAGCACGGCCCUUACGUCCGGGGCUACACACGUGUUACAAUGGGGGGUACAGAGGGCCGCUACCACGCGAGUGGAUGCCAAUCCCAAAAACCUCUCUCAGUUCGGACUGGAGUCUGCAACCCGACUCCACGAAGCUGGAUUCGCUAGUAAUCGCGCAUCAGCCACGGCGCGGUGAAUACGUUCCCGGGCCUUGUACACACCGCCCGUCAAGCCAUGGGAGCCGGGGGUACCUGAAGUGCGUAACCAAGAGGAGCGCCCUAGGGUAAAACUGGUGA
rnacentral:rRNA from 1 species